UCGGGAAUUUUGGGCAAUGGGCGAAAGCCUGACCCAGCAACGCCGCGUGAGGGAUGAAGUAUUUCGGUAUGUAAACCUCGAAAGAAUGGGAAGAAUAAAUGACGGUACCAUUUAUAAGCUCCGGCUAACUACGUGCCAGCAGCCGCGGUAAUACGUAGGGAGCAAGCGUUGUUCGGAUUUACUGGGCGUAAAGGGCGCGUAGGCGGCGCGGUAAGUCACUUGUGAAAUCUCUGAGCUUAACUCAGAACGGCCAAGUGAUACUGCCGUGCUAGAGUGCGGAAGAGGCUACCGGAAUUCUUGGUGUAGCGGUGAAAUGCGUAGAUAUCAAGAGGAACACCUGAGGCGAAGGCGGGUUGCUGGGCCGACACUGACGCUGAUGCGCGAAAGCCAGGGGAGCAAACG
rnacentral:rRNA from 1 species